rnacentral:rRNA from 1 species
UGGGGAAUUUUGGACAAUGGGCGCAAGCCUGAUCCAGCCAUGCCGCGUGCGGGAAGAAGGCCUUCGGGUUGUAAACCGCUUUUGGCAGGAACGAAACGGCGCUCGCUAAUACCGAGCGCUAAUGACGGUACCUGCAGAAUAAGCACCGGCUAACUACGUGCCAGCAGCCGCGGUAAUACGUAGGGUGCGAGCGUUAAUCGGAUUUACUGGGCGUAAAGCGUACGCAGGCGGCUUGGUAAGACAGGUGUGAAAUCCCCGGGCUUAACCUGGGAACUGCAUUUGUGACUGCCUGGCUAGAGUCUGUCAGAGGGGGGUGGAAUUCCACGUGUAGCAGUGAAAUGCGUAGAGAUGUGGAGGAACACCGAUGGCGAAGGCAGCCCCCUGGGAUGAGACUGACGCUCAUGUACGAAAGCGUGGGGAGCAAACAGG